rnacentral:rRNA from 1 species
UACGUAGGGGGCAAGCGUUGUCCGGAUUCAUUGGGCGUAAAGAGCGUGUAGGCGGCCAGGUAGGUGGUUGUGAAAACUGGAGGCUCAACCUUCAGAGGUCGACCGAAACCAUCUGGCUAGAGUCCGGGAGAGGAGAGUGGAAUUCCUGGUGUAGCGGUGAAAUGCGCAGAUAUCAGGAAGAACACCCGUGGCGAAAGCGGCUCUCUGGAACGGUACUGACGCUGAGACGCGAAAGCGUGGGGAGCGAACAGG